GACGAACGCUGGCGGCGUGCUUAACACAUGCAAGUCGAACGGAAAGGCCCUGCUUUUGUGGGGUGCUCGAGUGGCGAACGGGUGAGUAACACGUGAGUAACCUACCCUUGACUUUGGGAUAACUUCAGGAAACUGGGGCUAAUACCGGAUAGGAGCUCCUGCUGCAUGGUGGGGGUUGGAAAGUUUCGGCGGUUGGGGAUGGACUCGCGGCUUAUCAGCUUGUUGGUGGGGUAGUGGCUUACCAAGGCUUUGACGGGUAGCCGGCCUGAGAGGGUGACCGGCCACAUUGGGACUGAGAUACGGCCCAGACUCCUACGGGAGGCAGCAGUGGGGAAUAUUGCACAAUGGGCGGAAGCCUGAUGCAGCAACGCCGCGUGCGGGAUGACGGCCUUCGGGUUGUAAACCGCCUUCGCCUGUGACGAAGCGUGAGUGACGGUAAUGGGUAAAGAAGCACCGGCUAACUACGUG
rnacentral:rRNA from 1 species